UGAUGAGCAAGAUGAAGCCUGGAGAAUCUUGCAGGGGCCUCAGAAAGGAAAUGACACAUCACUUAUGAUUCAUAUUCUAUUGGCCAGAAUUAGUCACGUAGCCCUGCCUAACUCAAAGUCAUUGGGAAGGUACUUCCAUACACUGAAAAAGGAAGGGAGAACUGGAUAUUGGGCAGUGUGAAUAUCAAUUACGUAUGGCAAGGAGGAGAUUGAAUGCAGACACUAAUAUUCAGAGAGUCCUGCUGUGUCAUUCAGGCUGGAGUGCAUGGCACCAUCUCGGCUCACUGGAACCUCCACCUCCUGGGCUUAAGUGAUUCUCCUGCCUCAGCCUCCCAAGUAGCUGAGACUACAAGCACGCACUACCAUGCCCAGCUAAUUUUUUUUUUUUUUUUGAGGCGGAGUGUCGCUCUCUCGCCCAGGCUGGAUGGAGUGCAGUGGCACAAUCUCAGCUCACUGCAAGCUCUGCCUCCCGGGUUCAUGCCAUUCUUCUGCCUCAGCCUCCCGAGUAGCUGGGACUACAGGCACCCGUCACCACGCCCGGUUAAUUUUUUGUGUUUUUAGUAGAGAUGGGGUUUCACCGUUUUAACCAGGAUGGUCUCGAUCUCCUGACCUCAUGAUCCGCCCACCUCGGCCUCCCAAAGUGCUGGGAUUACAGGUGUGAGCCACUGCACCCGGCCUAAUUUUUGUAUUUUUAGUAGAGAUGGGGUUUCACCGUGCUGGCCAGGCUGGUCUCAAACUCCUGACCUGAAAUGAUCUACCCGCCUUGGCCUCCCAAAGGGCUGGGAUUACAGGCAUGAGCCAUUGAACCUGGCCUAUGUCUUUACAUCCUUUUAAAGUAAUUGUUUGGAAUUGGAUUGUGGAGUUGUGUCAUCAACAUUAAAGCUAAUUUUCUGUUUGGGAGCACUUGGGCUAUUUUCAUCCCUUGGUUCCCACAAAUAAUAUUAUUUAUUUAUUUUAUUUACUUAUUUUUAUUUUAUUUUUUGAGACAAGGUCUGGUUUUAUUGCCCAGGCUGAAGUGCAGUGUUGUGAUCUCAGUUCACUGCAACCUCUGCCUCCCAGGCUCAAACGAUCCUCCCACCUCAGCCUCCUGAGUAGCUGGUACUACAGGCACACCACCAUACCUGGCUAAUGUUUUAAAAAAUUUUUGUAGCAGUGUGGUUUUGCCAUUCUGCCCAGGCUGGUCUUGAACUUGUGAACUCAAACAAUCUGUCCACCUCAGCCUCCCAGUGUGCUGGGAUUACAGGUGUGAGCCACCUCACCCGCCUUUGUUUAUUUUUCAUACAGGGUCUCUCUGUCACUCAGGGUGGAGGACAGGGUGCAAUCAUGGCUCACUGCAGCCUGGAACACCUGGGAUCAAGCAAUUCUCCCUCCUCAGCCUCCUGAGUAGCUGGGACUACAGGUGUCAGUCACUACACCCAGCUAUUUUUUUUUUUUUCACAGAGACAUGGUCUCGCUAUGUUGUCCAGGCUUACAAAUAAUAUCAUUAUGAGGGGUUUUUCUUAGCUAAAUCUUUGCAUGCACAUUUGUUUUCCUCAUAUAAAUUUCUUUCUCUUUUCUUUUCUUUUCUUUUUUUUUUUUUUUUGAGAUGGCGUUUUGCUCUUGUUGCCCAGGCUGGAGUGCAACGGUGUGAUCUCAGUUCGCCGAAACCUCCGCCUCCCAGAUUCAAGCGAUUCUCCUGCCUCAGCCUCCCGGGUUGCUAGGAUUACAAGCAUGCACCACCACGGCCGGCUAAUUUUGUAUUUGUAGUAGAGACUGGGUUUCUCCAUGUUGGUCAGGCUGGUCUUGAACUCCUGACCUCAGGUGAUCCACCCGCCUUGGCCUUCCAAAGUGCUGGGAUUAUAGGUGUGAGCCACCAAGACUGGCCUCCUCAUAUGAAUUUCUAAAGGUAGAAUUGAUGGAUUCACAUGGCAUAUUUUAUUUUAUUUUAUUUUGAGACAGAGUCUCGCACUGUCACCUGGCCUGGAGUGCAGUGGCGUGAUCUUGGCUCACUGCAACCUUCACCUCCCGGGUUCACUGGAUUCUCCUGUCUCAGCCUCCCGAGUAGCUGGGAUUACAGGCGCAUGCCACCAUGUCCGGCUAAUUUUUUUUGUAUUUUUAGUAGAGACGGGAUUUCACUGUGUUUGCCAGACUGGUCUCGAACUCCUGACCUCACGUGAUCCACCCGCCUUGGCCCCCCAAAGUUUUGGGAUUACAGGCGUAAGCCACCGCGCCCGGCCUCAGAUGGCACAUUUUAAGGCUUUGGAUAUGAAUUGCCAAAAUCUCUCCUGAUUUCCCUCUUUCCUUACCCCAGACAGCCAAUGAAACUUCUGUUUAUCUACAUCCUCACUAACACUGGAUGUUAAAUAUGGGUUUAAAAAAUCUCUGCAAAUUGCUUCAGCAUGAUAUUCUUUUUUUUUUUUGAGAUAGAGUUUCCAUUGCCCAGGCCACGGGGUGCAGUGGCACAAUCUCAGCUCAUUGCAGCCUCUGCCUCCCGCAUUCAAGCGAUUCUCCUGCUUCAGCCUCCUGAGGAGCUGGGAUCGCAGGUGCGGGCCACCACGCCUCAUUAAUUUUUGUAUUUUUAGUAGACACGAGGUUUCACCAUGUUGGCCAGGCUGUUCUCAAACUCUGACCUCAAAUGAUCUGCCUGCCUUUGCCUCCCAAAUUGCUGGGAUUACAAGGCAUGUGCCACAGCACCCAGCCAGCAUGAUAUUCUUAAUGUAAUAAAAUGUCUUCUAUCUGAAAAAAACAUAAAAAGCCUUUAUUUAAAGGAUGAACUAAAAUCAAAUAGGUUAAAACUAAUCUUCCUUUAAGUAGAUCUAUGCAGCAAAAAUUAUUAAAAUGGCCAGGUGCGGUGGCUCACGCCUGUAAUCCCAGCAAGUUGAGAGGCUGAGGUGAAAGAAUCGCUGGAGCUCAGGAAUUCGAGACCAGCCUGGGCAACAUGGUGAAACCCCGUCUCUACAAGAAAUACAAAAAUUUACUGUUCUUGAUAGCACACGCGUGUAGUCCCAACUACUCGGGAGGCUGAGGUAGGAGGAUGGCUUGAGCCUGGGAGGUCGUGGCUGCAGUGAGCCAUGUUCAUCCCACUGCACUCCAGCCUGGGUGACAAAGCAAGACCCUGCCUCAAAAAAUAAACUAAAAUAAAAUAAAAAGUUUCUUAUUAAUGAAAAAAAAAAUCAAGGCACACCCAACUGUAACAAUUGGGGCCACUUAAAAAAAAAACACAAGCUCUCUUACCUCUGGCUGUAAGGACACAGGCUAUUCUGAUUUUAUCACCAGGAAAACUGCCCAUGAGGAAGCUGAGCCCAGCUGUGGCACUUUGGGUUGCCAGGGAAGCUGUUGGCUGAGCUGAGAAUAAACAUAAGUGAUUCUAUUCUCAGUAAGUGGUUCUAACCGCUAACCAUCCUUCCUUCCCCUUCUGUAUAUCUAUAUUAUGUUUGGGCCUAAAUCAUGCUGUCUGGAUGAAUCCUGAUUCUACGAGGCUUUUAGUUUUGAUAAACACAGUAUUGGGAAAUUUCCCAGUGGAUCUGCGUGAAAAGAAAAAUCUGACUUUGCUUUAACAGGUGCCUAACUUCAACAUUAAUGCCAGUGCUUAUGACUAAGGGGAUCCGAUGAUGCAAGGGUAAACUGGAGUGUCAGACUUCCAAAUGACAUGGAACUUUAGGUGACCUCUAAGACACUGGCUUGUGAGUGUGCAACAGUGCAGAGACCCAAGAUGCUGCUUUUGCAGAAACACCUGGGAUAUUGACAUAUUAAAUGAAAAAUAACCACCCCAGGCUGGAGAUGGUGGCUCACACAUGUAAUCUGUAAUCCCAGCACUUUGGGAGGUCAAGGCAGGAGGAUUGCUUGAAGCCACGAGUGCAAGACCAGCCUGGGCAACAAAGUGAGACCCUAACUCUACAGAAAGGAAGAAAGGAAGAAAGGAAGCAAGCAAGAAAGAAAUAAAGAAAGAAAGAAAGAAAGAAAGAAAGAAAGAAAGAAAGAAAGAAAAGAAAGAAAGAGAGAAAGAGAGAGAGAGAGACAGAAAGAGAGAAAGAAAGAAAGAGAGAGAGAACUACCCCAAACUUGGGAGUUAGCAUCUUUCAAAACUGUUUUUUGUUUUUUUGAGCCAGAGUCUCAUUCUGUCGCCCAGGCUGGAGUGCAGUGGCCCGAUCUCAGCUCACUACCACCUCCACCUCCCAGUUUCAAGCCAUUCUCAUACCUCAGCCACUCAGAUAGCUGGGACUACAGGCAAGCACCACCAUACUUGGCUAAUUUUUGUGUUUUUUAGUAGAGAAGGGCUUUCACUUUGUUGCCCAGGCUGGUCUCAAACUCCUGAGCUCAGGCAAUCUGCCCGCCUCAGCCUCCCAAAGUGCUAGGAUUACAGGCAUGAGCCACGAUGCCUGGACAUGCAAAACUUUAUAUUAGGAGAAAUUAUAAUUGAAGAGGUUAAAGUCACAGGGAAAAAAACAGGAUAGUGAGCAUCACAGCCAGUAGAUAUUCUGAUAAAUAGCUUAAGUUCACUAAAAUUACUUUAACAACAAUAAAAACAGCAAUGGGUGACAUUUUUUGCACAUGUUGCAAUAUUAUGCUUAUUUUCCUUUUCUGAAAAACCCUGUGACCCCUCUCCCCAUAAAAAUCAUAUAUUAAGGCUGAGGCUGAAUCAUACUGGAUAAACCAAUUGGAAAGGUUUGACUCAAACCAAGAAAAGAAGAAAGAGCCAAAUUUUUUUUAUUUUAUGAGUUCCCAAGUAAGCUUUUGAAAUUCAUGGCAGAAAUAAUAAUUUUGAAAGCCAAGGUUUUUGAUUUGCAAGAUUUUUAAAAAGAGGCUUUUUUCCUUUUUCUUUCUUUCCUUCCUCCAUUCCUCCCUUGCUUCCUCCCUUCCUUCCUCCCUUCCUUCUUCUCCAUAUUUAAUUUUGAGUAUCAGAUUCUGAAUUCAAAGCAAAUCCCUGAAGGAAUCAUUUUGAAAGCCAAGCCUCGGCCGGGCGCGCUGGCUCACGCCUGUAAUCCCAGCACUUUGGGGGGCUGAGGCGGGCGGAUCACGAGGUCAGGAAAUCGAGACCAUCCUGGCUAACACAGUGAAACUGCGUCUCUACUAAAAAUACAAAAAAAACUAGCCAGGCGUGGUGGCGGGCACCUGUAGUCCCAGCUACUCGGGAGGCUGAGGCAGGAGAAUGGCGUGAACCCGGGAGGCGGAGCUUGUGGUGAGCCGAGAUCGCGCCACUGGACCCCAGCCUGGGCGACGGAGCGAGACUCCGUCUCAAAAAAAAAAAAAAAAGAAAGAAAGCCAAGACUUCUGAUUUGCAAAAAGAGGAUCUUUUUCCUUUUUCUUUGUUUUCUAUCUUUUCUUUUUUUCUAGUUCUUUUAACUUGGUUUUGAGUAUCAAAACUUUGAAUCAGGGAUUCAAAGCAAAUCCCUGAAGCUAUCUUGGAAUAAAGUCUACACCACAACAAACAAGAGAUUUACUACAGGAGAACUGACAAAAAGUUAGGGCCAGGCGUGGUGGCUCACGCCUAUAAUUCCAGUACUUUGGGAGGGUGAGGCGGGAGGAUCACUUGAGGCCAGGAAUUCGAGACAAACUUGGCCAACAUGGCAAAACCCCAUCUCCACUAAAAAUACAAAAAUUAGCUGGGCGUGGUGGUGUGCGCCUGUAAUCCCAGCUACUCGGUGGCUGAGGCAGCAGAAUCGCUUGAACCUGGGAGGUGGAGGUUGCAGUGAGCCGAGAUUGCACCACUGCACUCCAGCCCGGGCAACAGAGCAAGACUCUGUCUCAAAAAAAAAGAAAAGAAAAGUCAUAUUAUCCUGUCC
rnacentral:lncRNA from 1 species